rnacentral:rRNA from 1 species
GACGAACGCUGGCGGCGUGCUUAACACAUGCAAGUCGAACGGAAAGGCCUGCAGCUUGCUGCGGGUACUCGAGUGGCGAACGGGUGAGUAACACGUGGGUGAUCUGCCUUGCACUUCGGGAUAAGCUUGGGAAACUGGGUCUAAUACCGGAUAGGACAGCUGUUUAGUGUCAGUUGUGGAAAGUUUUUUCGGUGCAAGAUGAGCUCGCGGCCUAUCAGCUUGUUGGUGGGGUAAUGGCCUACCAAGGCGUCGACGGGUAGCCGGCCUGAGAGGGUGUACGGCCACAUUGGGACUGAGAUACGGCCCAGACUCCUACGGGAGGCAGCAGUGGGGAAUAUUGCACAAUGGCGGAAGCCUGAUGCAGCGACGCCGCGUGGGGGAUGAAGGCCUUCGGGUUGUAAACUCCUUUCGACAGGGACGAAGCGUAAGUGACGGUACCUGUAUAAGAAGCACCGGCUAACUACGUGCCAGCAGCCGCGGUAAUACGUAGGGUGCGAGCGUUGUCCGGAAUUACUGGGCGUAAAGAGCUCGUAGGUGGUUUGUCGCGUCGUCUGUGAAAUUCCGGGGCUUAACUCCGGGCGUGCAGGCGAUACGGGCUGACUUGAGUGCUGUAGGGGAGACUGGAAUUCCUGGUGUAGCGGUGAAAUGCGCAGAUAUCAGGAGGAACACCGAUGGCGAAGGCAGGUCUCUGGGCAGUAACUGACGCUGAGGAGCGAAAGCAUGGGUAGCGAACAGGAUUAGAUACCCUGGUAGUCCAUGCCGUAAACGGUGGGCGCUAGGUGUAGGGGGCUUCCACGUCUUCUGUGCCGUAGCUAACGCAUUAAGCGCCCCGCCUGGGGAGUACGGCCGCAA